UGGGGAAUAUUGCACAAUGGAGGGAACUCUGAUGCAGCAACGCCGCGUGCGGGAUGACGGCCUUCGGGUUGUAAACCGCUUUCAGCCAUGACGAAGCUUUUGUGACGGUAGUGGUAGAAGAAGCACCGGCUAACUACGUGCCAGCAGCCGCGGUGAUACGUAGGGUGCGAGCGUUGUCCGGAAUUAUUGGGUGUAAAGAGCUUGUAGGCGGUUUGUCGCGUCGAUAGUGUAAACACGCAGCUUAACUGUGUGCCUGCUGUCGAUACGGGCUGACUAGAGGAGGGUAGGGGGGCAUGGAAUUCCCGGUGGAGCGGUGGAAUGCGCAGAUAUCGGGAGGAACACCAGUGGCGAAGGCGGUUCUCUGGACCUUUCCUGACGCUGAGAAGCGAAAGCGUGGGUAGCAAACAGG
rnacentral:rRNA from 1 species